UCCUGGCUCAGGAUGAACGCUGGCGGCGUGCCUAAUACAUGCAAGUCGAGCGAACGGACGAGAAGCUUGCUUCUCUGAUGUUAGCGGCGGACGGGUGAGUAACACGUGGAUAACCUACCUAUAAGACUGGGAUAACUUCGGGAAACCGGAGCUAAUACCGGAUAAUAUUUUGAACCGCAUGGUUCAAAAGUGAAAGACGGUCUUGCUGUCACUUAUAGAUGGAUCCGCGCUGCAUUAGCUAGUUGGUAAGGUAACGGCUUACCAAGGCAACGAUGCAUAGCCGACCUGAGAGGGUGAUCGGCCACACUGGAACUGAGACACGGUCCAGACUCCUACGGGAGGCAGCAGUAGGGAAUCUUCCGCAAUGGGCGAAAGCCUGACGGAGCAACGCCGCGUGAGUGAUGAAGGUCUUCGGAUCGUAAAACUCUGUUAUUAGGGAAGAACAUAUGUGUAAGUAACUGUGCACAUCUUGACGGUACCUAAUCAGAAAGCCACGGCUAACUACGUGCCAGCAGCCGCGGUAAUACGUAGGUGGCAAGCGUUAUCCGGAAUUAUUG
rnacentral:rRNA from 1 species